UACGUAGGUGGCAAGCGUUGUCCGGAUUUACUGGGCGUAAAGAGCGCGCAGGCGGUCGAAUAAGUCGAAUGUGAAAGCCCCCGGCUUAACUGGGGAGGGUCAUUCGAUACUGCUCGACUUGAAGGCAGGAGAGGGUAGUGGAAUUCCCGGUGUAGUGGUGAAAUGCGUAGAUAUCGGGAGGAACACCAGUGGCGAAGGCGACUUCACGCCUGUUCUUGACGCUGAGGCGCGAAAGCUGGAGGGAGCAAACGGGG
rnacentral:rRNA from 1 species